CUAAAAAUAAUUCGAUUUUAUUACUACAUACAAUAAUAUGACUGCAAACAUGUUAAAAUAUAUCUGAAUGCCUCCUGAGACUUUACAUCAUUGUUAACCUCUCAAUCUAUUCUUCGCUGUCAAUCGAAUGAUAUACAUUUCAAUCGAAUUGCAUCGAUACAUAGAACGUACGAAACGCGCGAGAACGGAAAGCAAAUCCGAUGCUACGAAGGUGCACGAAAGAGGCCGAGCGGGUUCGGAAGCAGCCGAGGCCAUCUGUUACGCUCGGUUCCCACGCUUCCGCCGUCGCCUUUCCCCGCCUUUGGACCAGUCUUCAUCGGUCCUUUUCUUGCCUCCACCUUCAUCGACACUGGCAGCUCUUGCUGUCGCUUUAUUUUAUAUAGCCCGAGAACGCUUGAACGUCUUUAACCGCGACUUUGCGUUUUCUGUUACGAGGCUAAACUUUUGUCCAUUAUCGCGAAAUUUCUGCAUAUUCACAGUUUCAAUUUAGUUUUGUGACACAUCAAUAACACGAAUUAGUGUGUGAAAAAAAGAAACUUUUAACGUAAGGCACGUGCCGUCAAGCGGCUACAGUCGUGCCAUUGUCAUCUUCUGAGGCUGUGUUUACACAAACGAAUAUCCCCUAUCACCCCUUGCGGAAACUUGGCACUCCCAAUCAUUGUGUACAAUCGUUCACAAAUGUGUUCGUAUAAAGAGAAUCAUAAACGACGUGCACGUGUGUUGGCAACGCGUUGCUGAGGGGGCUAGAACGAUUAAACCGACCGCAAAAAAGAUGAACUCGAUUCCUUAAAUACAUGGUCAAUAUGGCAAGGGGAUGACAGUGACAAUGUCAAGUGACUUCCAGCGAUCCCUUGUUUACCCAUGAAUAAAUUUCAUUUAUUUUGUUAUACAAACACAUAAAGAAUAAAGGAUCAAAAAUAUAAUAAAUCAAACAUUUGAAGCGAUCUAAAUAUAUAUAUAUAAUGUGACAAUUUUUAAUAAUUUUAAAACAAUUCCUUGAACAAUUUAAAAAAUAUAAGGAAUAAUUUCAAGAGGAACGAUUAUAUUUUAAAUUCGAUAUUGAUAAAUUCACAUCGUAGUUGGUAAUCGAAUAAUUAUCGAAUAAUCAUCCAAUCGAUAAUAAAUCGAUAAUAAAGAGACAAUCGAUCCUGAACGAAGUCAGAUUCAAAAAAAUCAGAUUGCAAACAAUUUAACGAUAUAUUUCUAACUAUCGAGAUAAAUCGAUUCAAUCGACAUGAUAGAAAGAUGGCGUUAGAAGAGGUUAUGUAGUUUCGUCUACGAUUCUGUUGAAACAUUGUUGUUUCAUGAUUUUUUUAUCCAUGGAAUUGUUUUAACGAAAGAUUAUUCGAUUAGUGGUGUUAUACAAUUAAAAUUUUUUGCAAUUUAUAGAUAAUAUAGCCAUAUUAAUUUACAAAAAAAAAAAAGAAUAUUAAGAGAAAAUAUUAAAUAUUAGUAAAGAAGCAUGUAUUCAAAAAAUAAUUAUUACACUACAUUACACUAUAUUAUUAAAGCUGCCAUAAGGAUAAUUUAGUUUUGCAUUUAGAAUUGCUUGACUGCACUCAAAGAAUGAAUACGAAAAUUCUCCCUUUUCAACUUAUACAAUGUUUUGUUUCUGACAAAAGUGCUCACAAAUCGAUACCAAAUGGUUACAAAGGUAUGUAUUUGCUUUAAUAAAAGAACUAAUGUAUAAUAUAUUAAUAAGGGCGCGUAUAGGUAGAAAACUGAAUCUAUGCCAAUAACGAUAUAGAAUCAUGAAUGGUGCUGUUGUAAAUGAUAUCGAAACGCAACCCUCUGUUUCCGUUUUGUCCAAUAAUAGAUUUCCCCCAUUCUGCGGUUUCCCUUUAUUCGCAUGAAGAUUAAAUUACAUGGCUGUUCGACAUGGUUAUGAAAUUGAAUAUAACGAAUAAUGAACUAUCAAUGUGAAAGUAAACAAACGCACAGGCCACUACAAGUGCAAAUGCAAGAACUGAAAUGCAGCAUAUAACUGACGAUUAAACCAUGGUUGCUUGAAGCGUAUAGCAACAGACCGUUAUCUGAAACACGUAUGACGAUAAACUUGAAACGCUGCUCCAGUAUAUUCGAGGAAUGACCUACGUGGAAGUUGGCAUGCCUAACUGAGAUCAUUUAUAAGGCUGGGUGGCGAUGUGGGACUAGCACUGGGGCUCACAUGAAACCCUUUCGACUCCUUGGCAGGCCUCUGGGGGGACACCCUCGCAGGGAAGCUCAAGGUUUUCGUCCACUGCGACAGACCACGCACCAUCUUUUUCUUCUUUUCCAAAAUUUCACCGAUAUAAUAUACAGUAAUACUACUAUCUUCCGGUCGUUCGGUCCUCUCUGUGGAACGGUCGCGUCAGCCCGCUGGACCAAGCGCGCUGAUUGGUAGAUACGAUAGAAAGCGAGAAGCAACGCGUACGAAACAAGGACGAGCAUAGUGGAAAAUGGCUAAUGGGGUGGUUCGUAUUAUAAGAGGAAGCGAGACUGUAUAAAAUGAUAUCGUAAGACGAACGCAACCACGAUAUAAUUUUCAAGAGAUAUAAACUUUUUUUCGUCAAACUAAUAUGUUACCUUCUUGUUUUUUCUUUAUUUCAGUGAACGAAGAAAAAGAGAAGAACGAGAGAAGUUUAAUGGUGUUGAUGAGACAAGGACAGUGACCAGGGAAAGACGGUGAAUGAAGGAACGUGUGAAAGAGAUUAUCGGAUAUGUGGCACAAGUACAAUCGCCGCUGACUUCAUGGAUCGCGGUUUAGAAAUCGUUUAAGGUUUAUCUAGGAUUCGCAUCGAUUCAAUAUACGUAAUAAACGAUAUGAUAACAAUUUUAAGAGGUUAAGAGGAAUAUCGAGGCCAAAUCAUUUCAAAGAUCCAAGUAAAUGUGUUUGAAGAAAAAUUAUCUAUGUUCCCUUUACAAUAGAUACUUCAAAAACUAAUCAAGACUAUUGAUGUGUUGAUUGGAACCAGGUAGUCGAAGUGGCCGCUAUCAAAGCGGUACUCUUACUGACGCCCUUUCCAAGACAAAGAAUUUGUCCGAUAGCGACUCGUGAUCGGUAAAGACAUACUCGUGUUGCCAACUGCAGGUCCGUCACGGUGGAGGGGAGGAAAACGACAUUGUAAGGCCCAACUGGCAAGGUAUGUUCCUUACAUUCAACCGCGUUCAGCUGUAUGUACGCGGACAGGAUCUAGCCAGCUGCGGCCUUCUUCGACCUUCCCCCCACCAGACCGGAAUCGAGCCUUCUGGCCAGCUAUACAAACCGGUACCCCAGCGUUCUAACAAGGAACAUCCGCGAAGACUCCGCCUUCGAUCUUGAUGGUGAUAGUUAAAUGAAAGACAAUUAUGCCAUAUGGAAUGCAGUGGAGAAAUAGCAGAAUAAGUGGAACAGAAAAAUAAACGAUUUAAAAAGAGGAAGACAGAACAGUUAGUUGAUUUAUUCUGAAUCAUCCACAGAUAAAAAAAUCUUUAACAAUUGAAAUAUAUCGUCCUCAAAUUUCUUCCCUCUGAAUUUCUUCUUUUUUCAUGAAAAGAUUUCAGAUAUUUAAUUUAAGGAAUUGUACAAUUUAAUGCUUUAAUCAAUUCCUUUAUCACCAUAACUUGUCUAAGCGACACAAUUUCGACCAGUGGCUUUACCCUUUGAGUUCAUAUCCAUUAUGGGCAUUCAAAAGAUUCGUAGAACUAUUUGAAUUUUUAAUUCAGCCCGCAUAGUUGAAGAAUUCACAUCUGUUCCCUAUUUUCCUUGACCAGAAAAUUCCAAUUGACCAUCAGAUAAAUGGGUACGUCAUUUUUCUCUGUCUGAUAUAUUCUGAACCUUUUUAGGGGACCAAUUCACAAUUCAAAUUCGAAGCACGCUCCGUUCAAAUAACUUUCUAAAUCGAUAUUAAUUGGUUUAACAUAUGUUCUUGCGAAUAAUCCAAUUUCUUGACAAUCCCUAAUUUGAUGCAAUCACGAUGUCGAAGACAAUGAAAUCUAUUUCAAAAAUCGAAACGGAUCGAGAGAAACGUUAUUACUAUGAGCUAUGUCAGGGAUAGUUGAAGUCGAUUGUAAGGAUUCCUAUUUAAAGCCUUCGACAAGCUCAUAUAAAUAGCAUUGUUCACCUUGGAUGGAUAACGAACUCUUGUUUUCACAGGAAAAAAGAAACGUUGAGAAAAGAAGAAUGAUAGUGAUGGUUUGAAUACAAGGAUUCUUUUAUUUAAAAUUCGCAACAGGUGCGCUAUGUCAGGUUGUAUUAAUUCCCUAAGGACAUACUAUAAUUUCACAGACAUGAUAUUCACGAUCACGCACCUUUUCGUCCCUUCUUAUAUAUAGG